AUGUGUCUAAAUCUCUUUUAAAAUUUGUCUAGCUUUUUGAAUGUGAUAUUCAAAGUACAG
rnacentral:snRNA from 1 species